rnacentral:tRNA from 1 species
GGUGAGAUGGCCGAGCGGUCUAAGGCGCUGCGUUAAGGCCGCAGUCUAGUAAUAGGCGUGGGUUCGAAUCCCACUCUCAUCA